AGUGAACGCUGGCGGUAGGCCUAACACAUGCAAGUCGAACGGCAGCACAGUAAGAGCUUGCUCUUACGGGUGGCGAGUGGCGGACGGGUGAGGAAUACAUCGGAAUCUACUUUUUCGUGGGGGAUAACGUAGGGAAACUUACGCUAAUACCGCAUACGACCUACGGGUGAAAGCAGGGGAUCUUCGGACCUUGCGCGAUUGAAUGAGCCGAUGUCGGAUUAGCUAGUUGGCGGGGUAAAGGCCCACCAAGGCGACGAUCCGUAGCUGGUCUGAGAGGAUGAUCGGCCACACUGGAACUGAGACACGGUCCAGACUCCUACGAGACGCAGCAGUGGGGAAUGUUGGACAGUAGGCGCAAGCCUGAUCCAGCCAUACCGCGUGGGUGAAAAAAGCCUUCGGGUUGUAAAGCCCUUUUGUUGGGAGAGAAAAGCAGCAGGUUAAUACCCCGCUGUUCUGACGGUACCCAAAGAAUAAGCACCGGCUAACUUCGUG
rnacentral:rRNA from 1 species